rnacentral:rRNA from 1 species
CAGUCGCCACGGUAAUACAGAGGGUGCGAGCGUUAAUCGGAUUUACUGGGCGUAAAGCGUGCGUAGGCGGCUAAUUGAGUCGGAUGUGAAAUCCCCGAGCUUAACUUAGGAAUUGCAUUCGAUACUGGGAAGCUAGAGUAUGGGAGAGGAUGGUAGAAUUCCAGGUGUAGCGGUGAAAUGCGUAGAGAUCUGGAGGAAUACCGAUGGCGAAGGCAGCCAUCUGGCCUAAUACUGACGCUGAGGUACGAAAGCAUGGGGAGCAAACAGGAUUAGAUACCCCAGUAGUCCCUGUCUCUUAUAC